UUCCUAAUGUUCCUACUUCCUGUCCCAUGUGUCUCUGCAGUUCCUGGUGGAGGUCUCCACUCUGAUCUUCUUCGUGUUGACGGGCUAUAAGUUCAGACCAGCGUCCAACAACCCGUACCUGCAGCUGCCCCUGGACGAGGAGGACGUGGAGAUGGACGAAGUAGUGACUGAGUCCGGAGCUCUGGAGGGAAUCUCCAAAGUGAAGAAGACGUGUAACGGACAACGCCCGAAAGAGUCCACCUUGUGAGCUGGAAGCUGCCUCCUUGGAGGGGAGGGGGGGGGGGGGACUCAACAUGGACCAAGCCCCCUCCCCCCCCUCCCCUCCCCACACACCAGAUCCCCUGCUGAACUCUGGGAGAUGUUGCAGUGUCCUGUCCACUGUCUGGCUAUGCAAAAAGACAAACUUUGUUGGACACUCUCCAAUUCCUCGAAAGCACUCCACCCAGAAACAGUGGAGGGGGGGUGGGGUCUCUCCCCUCUCUCUCCCCAAAGAUCAUUAUCAUUUUAGAGACUUGCUUUCGGGUGUGUUUAUAUCGGUGUGUUUAUAUCGGCUAUUUAAACGGUACUGCUCCCGGUCGUACCUUCCUGUGCGAUGUGUGUGUGAACGUAAGACGCCGUGAAAACAGCUGUAAUGUUUUUUAACUUCUGGAGACGAAGCGAGUUGGCGUGUGAUACUCUCCGGAGGCUGCGUUCAGGCUCAGUUCAGUUUGAUGGCGGCUCAAUCACUUUAGAUUGAACUUUUAGGAAUGUUAAAAGGAAGCUUUGGAAAUUCUUCAACAGAGAGGAUGUAGUGUUUCUGGGUUGGUCCCUGAAGGCAGCAUCUCCUGGUCCCUGAAGGCAGCAUCUCCUGGUCCAAUGGGAUCAUCUGUGAGUCCAACAAGCGUUUGGUAUUCUUGGAACACAGAUCCCUAAAAGAUGAAAGCUUCCUUUCAACACGUUCUCCUCAGAGGUCGUUUAUAGUUUCACAUCAACACUACGCUUUGUGUGUUACUCUGUUUCCCAUGUGUUGAGAUAUUUGAAAGAGGUUUUAUAUUUCAAUAUAUUUCCUCAUUGCAUAUUGAAAUGUUAUAUUUCAGUAUUAUUUCCAGGAGAGCGAGGAGUCGGCCGCUGCUGUAAUUGAAUGCUUUAGUGGAUGUUCAUUUCUAAAUCUCUCAUUUAGGGAGGGGUCUUUUGGCGAGGAGAGACCGAACAGAUGAUCUCUGGCUUUUGGUUUUACUUUCGUGCUCUUGAUGUGAAGCUUAUUUUAUUAAUUAUUGAAGACUUAACAGAUGUAAAUAAGACUGUGGAGAGGAAGGCACUUUGAUGAAGAGGCUUUAGGACGCGUUCAGGUUCUGUUCUGAUGGUUUUGUAGGACGCAGGAGACGAGGAGGUGUUCAGGUGUGACUGUUCACCUGAGAGGAAACAGGAAGUCACAGAGGAAGCUGUGAUGUCUGCCUGAACUGUCACAAUAAAGCUGGUGUUCUGGAAA